UUCAAUUACAGAAUUUAGCGUU
rnacentral:siRNA from 1 species